rnacentral:rRNA from 1 species
GAUGAACGCUGGCGGCGUGCCUAAUACAUGCAAGUCGAGCGAACAGACGCGGAGCUUGCUCCUCUCACGUUAGCCGCGCGCGUGUGAGAAACACGUGGAUAAUCUACCUAUAUGACUGAGAUCACUACGGGAAACCGGCUCAUAUCCCGUAUAAUAUAUUGCACCACAUUGUUGAAUAGUGAAAUUCGGUUUUUCUGUAUGUUCUCGCUGCAUCCCGGCCGCAUUAGCUAGUUGUUAAGGUAACAGCUUUCCACGGCGAGCAUGCGUAGCCGACCUGAGAGGGUGAACGCCCACACGGGAGGUGAGACACGGACCAGAGUCCUACGGGAGGCAGCAGUAGGGAAUGGUCCGCAAUGGGCGAGAGCCUGACGGAGCAACGCGGAGUAAGUGAUGGAGGUCUUCGGAUCGGAAAACUCGGUUAUGAGGGAAGAACAAAUGUGUAAGUAACUGUGCACGUCUUGACGGUACUUGAUCAGAAAGCCACGGCUAACUACGUG